rnacentral:rRNA from 1 species
UGGGGGAUAUUGCACAAUGGGGGGAAACCCUGAUGCAGCGACGCCGCGUGGGUGAAGAAGCGCCUCGGCGCGUAAAGCCCUGUCAGCAGGGAAGAAAAUGACGGUACCUGAAGAAGAAGCCCCGGCUAACUACGUGCC